GAGUGAACGCUGGCGGUAGGCCUAACACAUGCAAGUCGAACGGCAGCACAGUAAGAGCUUGCUCUUACGGGUGGCGAGUGGCGGACGGGUGAGGAAUACAUCGGAAUCUACUUUUUCGUGGGGGAUAACGUAGGGAAACUUACGCUAAUACCGCAUACGACCUACGGGUGAAAGCAGGGGAUCUUCGGACCUUGCGCGAUUGAAUGAGCCGAUGUCGGACUAGCUAGUUGGCGGGGUAAAGGCCCACCAAGGCGACGAUCCGUAGCUGGUCUGAGAGGAUGAUCAGCCACACUGGAACUGAGACACGGUCCAGACUCCUACGGGAGGCAGCAGUGGGGAAUAUUGGACAAUGGGCGCAAGCCUGAUCCAGCCAUACCGCGUGGGUGAAGAAGGCCUUCGGGUUGUAAAGCCCUUUUGUUGGGAAAGAAAAGCAGCAGGUUAAUACCCCGCUGUUCUGACGGUACCCAAAGAAUAAGCACCGGCUAACUUCGUG
rnacentral:rRNA from 1 species